UACGUAGGGUCCGAGCGUUGUCCGGAAUUAUUGGGCGUAAAGGGCUCGUAGGCGGUUUGUCGCGUCGGGAGUGAAAACACGGGGCUUAACCCCGUGCCUGCUUCCGAUACGGGCAGACUAGAGGUAUGCAGGGGAGAACGGAAUUCCUGGUGUAGCGGUGAAAUGCGCAGAUAUCAGGAGGAACACCGGUGGCGAAGGCGGUUCUCUGGGCAUUACCCGACGCUGAGGAGCGAAAGUGUGGGGAGCGAACAGG
rnacentral:rRNA from 1 species